UACAGAGGGUGCAAGCGUUGUUCGGACUUACUGGGCGUAAAGCGCGUGUAGGCGGUCUUUUAAGUCUGGUGUGAAAGCCUGAGGCUUAACCUCAGAAGUGCACUGGAUACUGGAAGACUAGAGGGUAAAAGAGGAGAGUGGAAUUCAUAGUGUAGGGGUGAAAUCCGUAGAUAUUAUGAGGAACAUCAGUGGCGAAGGCGGCUCUCUGGUUUACUACUGACGCUCAGACGCGAAAGCAUGGGGAGCAAACAGG
rnacentral:rRNA from 1 species